rnacentral:rRNA from 1 species
GUAAUUUGCAGAGGGCGCUUUGGCAUUGGCAGCGGUCCAAGUUCCUUGGAACAGGACGUCACAGAGGGUGAGAAUCCCGUACGUGGUCGCUAGCCUUUACCGUGUAAAGCCCCUUCGACGAGUCGAGUUGUUUGGGAAUGCAGCUCUGAAUGGGAGGUAAAUUUCUUCUAAAGCUAAAUACUGGCCAGAGACCGAUAGCGCACAAGUAGAGUGAUCGAAAGAUGAAAAGCACUUUGGAAAGAGAGUUAAAAAGCACGUGAAAUUGUUGAAAGGGAAGCGCUUGCAGCCGGACUUGCCUGUAGUUGCUCAUCCGGGUUUUUACCCGGUGCACUCUUCUAUAGGCAGGCCAGCAUCAGUUUGGGCGGUUGGAUAAAGGUCUCUGUCGUGUACCUCUCUUCGGGGAGAACUUAUAGGGGAGACGACAUGCAACCAGCCUGGACUGAGGUCCGCGCAUCUGCUAGGAUGCUGGCGUAAUGGCUGUAAGCGGCCCGUCUUGAAACACGGACCAAGGAGUCUAACAUCUAUGCGAGUGUUUGGGUGUC